rfam:Ictidomys tridecemlineatus contig002359, whole genome shotgun sequence.
GAGGCUGUAGCUCAGUGGUAGAGCACUUGCCUAGCAUGCAAGAGGCACUGGGUUCGAUCCUUGGUACCACA